AAAUGAAAUUCCAAAAUUACCCUUUGUUAUUAGUGUUGGAAAGUGGAAAAGAGAGAGAAUAAUUAAUGAGACACAUUUUACAAGUUAGAAUUAAUAAGGGCAUCAUUGGAAAAAAUUAAUUAAUAUAGCUCAAACUUUCAUUUGGUUCUUAUAAAAAGGACCAAGAUUUUUCUUCUCUUUCAUGCUUAUAAAUAGGACCGGAGGGAGUAUUACUGAUUGAUUUCUAAAUCCCGGUUACUGUUCACGGGUCAAAUUUUUUUUUUUGGGACAACUACAUUUUUCUUUUGUUCUGCUGAGAUUUUGUCUUAUUAAGCUGAUACCCAUUUUGUUACACACUUUGAUCAUCCCCUACAAAGGUUGACGUCCCACACAGUCCCUCAUCAUGUGCUUUGCCUUUCCCCCUGCUCAAGGAUUCUUGAAGAAAGGGCAUGGUCUAUACCUGCAAUCAGCAAUUGCGUGGGUUGAUACUCCCCAAGCCUCUCCGUCAUCUCCCCUCAUGCUGCCAUUACCAGUUGUGUUUAUGUUGCUUUACAGUUGGAUUUCAAACUUCGGUUGAUACUCCUCCUCCUCCUUGGGUUAUGCCUUCCCAACCUACAUUAUGUGUCCUAGGUACAGUUGUAUCAUCCUAUUCGUGUCAUCUCCUGCUACAACCCUAGCAGCUUCAACCUCCACUGCGCCCCAGCUUCAUCAUCUCAAGCUUCCAAAACCAGCUGUCCAAGUUGCUUUACAAGUUUUGUGCCUAUACUCUAUUUUGAAUUCACCCCCUGUAUACUGUUCGUGAUUUUGAAUACAGUCCAAAAACACAUGAGAAUCGAAAGCAGGAGAUAGAUAAGUUGGUGCAAGAUCAGGAAAGUUUUAGGGGUUCUCUGUUGCAAUGGUGCUACACCAGUUAUGGAGAGAUCCUCUUAAUGUGUGACUGGUUGCAGGAAGGGAAGUUGAUUGUGCAGAGACAGAGGUUUGGGACCUGAUCAAAUGGGAUGUAAUCAAUGACAGAUCAAGGUUGAUGGGGAUAUCUAGAAGAAGGAGCAUGGAAUGCUAUACAUGUCAUAGAGGUAAAGUAUCUUUACGUUGAGUUGAAGGCUAAGUAUUGAUAACUGCAUUUUUUUCUUUUUUGAUUCAGUUGAAAGUUUUGGAGUUUACAUGACAUUUACUAUUUAGUUUUUAGAUUGAUAUCAUGUCUUAAAAGUAGUAACCACCUUAGCACAUGUGAGAGAGAAUCUGAUUUGGGUUUCCAGCUUCAAGUUGGGUUUCUGGAUUUUGAGAAUCUAAUUGCAGAGCGAGUGAGAAAGGUUAUGCUUACAUGUUUCCCUUUUUUUCAUUCCCCUAUUUGUUUGACUGUAGUAUCUAAAAGAAAAACUUAUCACUCUCUUUAUAUGCUUCCCAAAGAAUAACUUGACUAUCAAGUAGAAAAAGUCUAUAUUGUUAGUUGGUGAGAUUUAAAGACCUGAGGAAUGGUUGUGAUAAUUACUUGAUUAUCUAAUCGAAAAAGUCCUUAUCUGCACUACCGAACCAUAAACAUGGUAUUUUCAAGCAGUCGUUGUGCCAUUAAGUUCUGUCACAUGGACACAGGUUUGCUGUAUGAUUUCUGUUUCUUUGAGUCAUAUGUUAGUUUCUAAUUGUUUCCUUCAUGUUAGCUGUACGAGUAGUUAAUUAGCUAACAAUAUUUGGGUAGGCAUUAGACAGAUUGUUUUUUCUUAUGGCAUCUCAAUCAUGAUGAUCGAAGUUCAGGCAUUUGUUAUUGUCAAUGCAAAGUUUGACAUUCUUAUAACAAUUAAGGAGAUGAUAAUGUUAACUGUUAACACAGGUAGUCAAUUAUUAACCAUAUAAUCCUAAUAUCAGUUUACAUGUCAGAAAAGAAUGUUGGAAAAAGUCCUAUAGAUGUAUCAAGAUAGAAUUAUGUAAAUUAAUCCUCUGCUUGGUAGUCCCAAAGGCAUACUGAGCAUCUGCAAUAAAAUAUACUAUAGAUGAGGAAAACUAAAGAUAGCAGAGGUUUGCGUUCAAGAAAGAUUCCGAAUAUAAAAACAACAGAAGAAAUGAAGCUCAAAAUCUGACAAAAUGGAGCAGGGUAGAGGUCAUGUUUUUCUAGUUUUCUACUGCCGUUUUGACAUGUGUGUGCAAUUCUGGGUUUAGUUCAAGUUUUUGUGUGAGUUUUGGCAUAGUUGGGACUACGUUUCUUAUGCUCUGGCUGGGAGGUUUGAGAUGGUUAUGGGGGGUUUUGGUUGUAGGCAGGGGCCAAGGGUUGGUACUUAUAAUAUUAUUUUUAUGAAGUGGUGUGUUAGAGGGAUGAGAUUUUUCUAUUUUUAGUUCAUGGAUGGUUUUCAUUAUAUGUUCUGUUUUGGGUAGGAUUGCAGAUUCGUCUUCUUUUUUCUGCAUAAUGCUCUUUUUGCAAUAUGUUCUUGUGUGUAGUAUGGUUUAUGCAGGAACUUUUUGAGCUGUGUAGCACGGUGGGACUGUGUAGAUGGGGCAUAUUUUCUGUCUUGCACCUUGGCUCCUUGGGCUAUUGUGAGGCAUCAUCAGUGGUGGUUUCUUUGGGUCAUUGCGUUGUUCUGAUUUGUGCUAAAUGUGAGGAAAGAUGGAUCUUCAAAUAAGGGUGUGCUCACUUUGGAUAAAGGGAGUAUGCUGGUGCUGUUUUAUGGAGUAAAUGAUGGCUUCACAUGAAUUUUUUUUGCUAGGAAUUAAGUUGCUGGUGUGUUAUGUUGGGUGUAAUGUUUGAUUUUGAGGUUUUUCUGAUUAUGUACUAAAGUCACCCUAGAGUUUGUUGUACGCUUUUUCCUUCCAAGGGAAUGAUGAAUAUCAUUUGUUCAGAAACUGAAAGCAUGCAUCUUGAAGAACUAAUUCACUGGGCUCUCUUAAGCAUAUGGAUUACUACUACCCUGGAGUUGGCAAAGUCUGUUUUAAACUAUUGUUAGAGGAAAACAUAAAAAUCAAGUUUAGAGUUUAUGUAUUAAGAACAAGAUUUGUUACAAAUUACUUUUUCUGUUCUUAUAUACAAGUUACUUUUACUUAAUAGAAAGUCUUUUAAUAUAA